GUGGUAAUGCCGGAUGCUCCAGUUGACCGCAUGGUCCUCUGGGAAAGAUUCAUCGGUAUGGGAUGGGGUCGCGUCCUAUCAGCUUGAUGGCGGGGUAACGGCCCACCAUGGCUUCGACGGGUAGCCGGCCUGAGAGGGCGACCGGCCACAUUGGGACUGAGAUACGGCCCAGACUCCUACGGGAGGCAGCAGUGGGGAAUAUUGCACAAUGGGCGCAAGCCUGAUGCAGCGACGCCGCGUGCGGGAUGACGGCCUUCGGGUUGUAAACCGCUUUUGACUGGGAGCAAGCCCUUCGGGGUGAGUGUACCUUUCGAAUAAGCACCGGCUAACUACGUGCCAGCAGCCGCGGUAAUACGUAGGGUGCAAGCGUUAUCCGGAAUUAUUGGGCGUAAAGGGCUCGUAGGCGGUUCGUCGCGUCCGGUGUGAAAGUCCAUCGCUUAACGGUGGAUCCGCGCCGGGUACGGGCGGGCUUGAGUGCGGUAGGGGAGACUGGAAUUCCCGGUGUAACGGUGGAAUGUGUAGAUAUCGGA
rnacentral:rRNA from 1 species